UCAUCUCUACCACAAGCAGACGCUCUUUUAUAGCUUCCGAGCAGAGGAUAACAAUUCAGCACACAGGUGGAUUGAAGCCAUGGAAGAAGCAUCCAUAUUAUAGCAGGUUUCACAAUGAACUUGGAAUAAAUUCUCAUAUUUCUAUACAUAUCCAGCAAACCUCUUCUAACUUACAAAGCUAAACAGUGUAUUUCAGGCCCACUGGCCACACACACUGGAUCUGAACUGUUUCCAGCUUACUCUUUUUCUUCAUUUUUCUUACAUCCAUAUUGUUACAAAUGAAAAUUUCAAGAGAAGAGAUUAUUUAUGGUGAUCUUUAUGUCUGUGCAAGUUCAGCCUGUACUAUAAGCUUCGCUUCUGAUCCCACAGUAAACUAAGUCUAACAUCAAGACCAGAAAAUACAUGGAAAUAAUGACUACAGUAAGUAACAGACUCAGUUUUACUUACUCCAGAGCACUAUGGUAUUUCACUGGGUUGGCUUUGAUGUCUACCAUGACACGAGAAACAAUGCAGUAAACAACAAA